CUGUCCUAUAUAUAUCACUCUCUAGGUCACCCAAAAACAGCAACAAACCCAACUCUUUUCUCCAGUCUCAGCGGCGCAGGCCAAAACAAGAACAACUAUGGCGGCUGAGAUGAGCAAAAAGCGAAAUGUCCUACCACCGAUGAAACACGCACUAAGUUUGUUGCUGAUGGAGUCUUCUCUAGUUGCUGACGAGAGAGGCUAGCAUCGGAUGGCUGCUCGGUUGAGGUUAUGCCGGUGCCGACCUGGAUCAUCGUUAGGGCCACUCGGACUCGGUUCUUGAGAUUAAGGUGAAGAUCAUACUUGAUUGGGAUCCAAAGGGUAAGUAAGGCCGUACGACACCUUUUCCUGAUAUGUUCACCAUUCACCAACCGUAGGAGGAAGGGUACAUCAGGCCCUCAGUCUUGGCAAUGGAAAUACCAAUAGAAGUGCCUUAAGUGCCGGUUGUGGUCGCCACCCAGAUUUCUUUAUUCUCAAAUCGCAAUCUUUAGUUUUCAGUGUUGUUGUGUCAGAGACAGCAAUAUGUACUGUUAGGAUACUGGAUUUUUUCUUGUCAUUGAAGCAUUAUUUGAUUUUUAUUUUUGUAAAUGAGUCUCUAAUUACUUAAAUUACCUUGCACCUUUUGUGUAGUCAUUCA